rnacentral:misc_RNA from 1 species
CUUGUGUUGUAUUCAAGGAAUGAUAUGAACUUGGACCAAUUGUAAGCCAGUAGCAUUUAGUCCCAGUAAUAAUUUUUUAAUUCAACUUCCAUGAUGGAAAAGCAAAUAAGCUCACAAAUUUGACUAAACAUUUCACACUGAACUGAAAACAUAGGGAUGUGUUCUCAUUGAUGUGAACCAAAAAAUCAAAAACAAUACACCAUAGGUUAAGACUGUAAACCACCACUGUGGCAUUAACUUCUCGUACACUAACAUCCUCAGCUCAAACAAAACAACUCUGACAAUAAAAUUGGAACCCCAGUGUGGAUCCAUUACCUAUAAUGUGUAAAGAGCACAUCCCAAAGCAGUUGCAGUCUUUCAACUUGUCUUCUAUUUAUGUACAGGGUAUACAAACAACACUGGCAAUCGGGCACCCUACAAAUGCCCAAAUUGAUCUGAAAUCAAAAAA